AGAAUCAACGCUGGCGGCGUGCCUAACACAUGCAAGUCGCACGAGAAAGGGGCUUCGGCCCUGAGUAAAGUGGCGCACGGGUGAGUAACACGUGAAUAAUCUACCUCCGAGUGGGGAAUAACUGAGAGAAAUCUUAGCUAAUACCGCAUAACACUUACGAGUCAAAGCAGCAAUGCGCUUGGAGAGGAGUUCGCGGCCGAUUAGUUAGUUGGCGGGGUAAUGGCCCACCAAGACGAUGAUCGGUAUCCGGCCUGAGAGGGCGCACGGACACACUGGAACUGAAACACGGUCCAGACUCCUACGGGAGGCAGCAGUGGGGAAUUUUGCGCAAUGGGGGAAACCCUGACGCAGCAACGCCGCGUGGAGGAUGAAGUAUCUUGGUACGUAAACUCCUUUCGAUUGGGAAGAUAAUGACGGUACCAAUAGAAGAAGCCCCGGCUAACUUCGUGCCAGCAGCCGC
rnacentral:rRNA from 1 species